rnacentral:rRNA from 1 species
AUUGAACGCUGGCGGCAUGCUUUACACAUGCAAGUCGAACGGCAGCACGGGCUUCGGCCUGGUGGCGAGUGGCGAACGGGUGAGUAAUGCAUCGGAACGUACCGUGUAAUGGGGGAUAACGUAGCGAAAGUUACGCUAAUACCGCAUACGCCCUGAGGGGGAAAGCGGGGGAUCGUAAGACCUCGCGUUAUACGAGCGGCCGAUGUCGGAUUAGCUAGUUGGUGGGGUAAAGGCCUACCAAGGCGACGGUCUGUAGCUGGUCUGAGAGGACGACCAGCCACACUGGGACUGAGACACGGCCCAGACUCCUACGGGAGGCAGCAGUGGGGAAUUUUGGACAAUGGGCGCAAGCCUGAUCCAGCCAUGCCGCGUGCGGGAAGAAGGCCUUCGGGUUGUAAACCGCUUUGUCAGGGAGAAAUCUUCUGGGUUAAUACCUCGGGAGGAUGACGGUACCUGAAGAAUAAGCACCGGCUAACUAACGUGCCAGCAGCCGCGGUAAUAUAGCGU